rnacentral:rRNA from 2 species
GACGGGUGAGUAACACGUGGGCAACCUGCCUGUAAGAUCGGGAUAACGCCGGGAAACCGGGGCUAAUACCGGAUAGUUUUUUCCUCCGCAUGGAGGAAAAAGGAAAGACGGCUUCUGCUGUCACUUACAGAUGGGCCCGCGGCGCAUUAGCUAGUUGGUGGGGUAACGGCUCACCAAGGCAACGAUGCGUAGCCGACCUGAGAGGGUGAUCGGCCACAUUGGGACUGAGACACGGCCCAAACUCCUACGGGAGGCAGCAGUAGGGAAUCUUCCGCAAUGGACGAAAGUCUGACGGAGCAACGCCGCGUGAGUGAAGAAGGCCUUCGGGUCGUAAAACUCUGUUGCCGGGGAAGAACAAGUGCCGUUCGAACAGGGCGGCGCCUUGACGGUACCCGGCCAGAAAGCCACGGCUAACUACGUGCCAGCAGCCGCGGUAAUACGUAGGUGGCAAGCGUUGUCCGGAAUUAUUGGGCGUAAAGCGCGCGCAGGCGGCUUCUUAAGUCUGAUGUGAAAUCUUGCGGCUCAACCGCAAGCGGUCAUUGGAAACUGGGAGGCUUGAGUGCAGAAGAGGAGAGUGGAAUUCCACGUGUAGCGGUGAAAUGCGUAGAGAUGUGGAGGAACACCAGUGGCGAAGGCGGCUCUCUGGUCUGUAACUGACGCUGAGGCGCGAAAGCGUGGGGAGCAAACAGGAUUAGAUACCCUGGUAGUCCACGCCGUAAACGAUGAGUGCUAAGUGUUAGAGGGUUUCCGCCCUUUAGUGCUGCAGCUAACGCAUUAAGCACUCCGCCUGGGGGAGUACGGCCGCAAGGCUGAAACUCAAAGGAAUUGACGGGGGCCCGCACAAGCGGUGGAACAUGUUGGUUUAAUUCGAAGCAACGCGAAGAACCUUACCAGGUCUUGACAUCCUCUGAUCUCCCUGGAGACAGGGCCUUCCCCUUCGGGGGACAGAGUGACAGGUGGUGCAUGGUUGUCGUCAGCUCGUGUCGUGAGAUGUUGGGUUAAGUCCCGCAACGAGCGCAACCCUUGACCUUAGUUGCCAGCAUUGAGUUGGGCACUCUAAGGUGACUGCCGGUGACAAACCGGAGGAAGGUGGGGAUGACGUCAAAUCAUCAUGCCCCUUAUGACCUGGGCUACACACGUGCUACAAUGGAUGGUACAAAGGGCUGCGAGACCGCGAGGUUAAGCCAAUCCCAGAAAACCAUUCCCAGUUCGGAUUGCAGGCUGCAACCCGCCUGCAUGAAGCCGGAAUCGCUAGUAAUCGCGGAUCAGCAUGCCGCGGUGAAUACGUUCCCGGGCCUUGUACACACCGCCCGUCACACCACGA